CUGGUUAGUACACCCCACUGUUAGUUCACACUUCACUGUUAGCCACCCCCACAAGGGAUCGAUACCAAGACCUCAGUGUUGAAAUGAGAAGUCCCAGAUAUCAAUGGUUGGAUUGUGGCCAUCACAAGAAGGGAGCAAGAGCCUGUAUUGAUGCUGGGAAGGCAAGCAGUCCCAUUCCAGCAUUCCUUGACAAGCUUGAAAAUUCAUUGCAUUGGAGUUGUGUGAUUUGCUUACAUUUUUUUCCCAAGAAAGAGAAACUGUGAUGAUUAAGGAGAUGUAGUAGAGUUGAUUUCUUGAGGGUGAGAAGCAUAGCUGGCUAGUUGGUUCCCAGCUAUGCUAGUUUCUAUCUCCGCCUUAGCCAAAUCCUACACAAUCUGUUGCUGGUUUUCCUGCUAUUGGUUCUGAAGAUGCAGCAUUCAAAACCAACUUCUAUGUGAAUUCCUACUACAGUCGGACUCAAAAGAAGAGUAAGAAAAUUCUAUUUCAGUGUUUUGUGCAAAAUUACAGAACAGAUGCACUAUUCUGUUUAAAGAAUUGAUACCCGUGGUGCAAAAUAACAGUACAGAUAAACUACGAUUUCUAAUACAUACUGUUAACUAAAAUGAGGUGAAAUUAUUUUUAAGUGGCAAAUAAACAGGGCCUAUGGAAACUAAUUUAUGAUAAUGAGUUUGUUUUGCUUCUGUAGUGGUCCAGAUUCUAGCAUGUCUUGCUGAUCACUGGGCCCACAUGUUCGAAUUCUAGCAUGUGCCGCCGUUGACUGGGCCCACAUGCUGAAUAUUUUGGUUAUUUGAAACAUCCAUGUUGUUAAUACAAGUCACUGUAAGAAAAUUAUGCUGAAGAGAUGAUGAUGACCAUCACUAUCCAUGAAUUUAUUUAGAACUAUUGGAAAGAAAAUUUCCAAUGGCUCGCAGUUGAACUCUAGUAAUCGAAGUUUAGGAUUGUUAAUGAAGCAUGAUUAUGGACAAUAGCUUGUUUAUGGCAGUAGCUAGAAUAUUCACAGUUCAAACCAUAAGAUCAUCUCAGCAUGUGGAUUACAGUGGGUUGCGACACAUGCAACAGAGGCAAAAAAAAAAAAACACACACACACUCCGACAUGCUUCAGGAAAAGAUGUGCUCCUGCCACAUCUUUUGCUGUCCAUUGAGUGUGGGCAGGAAUCCCAGUGCAUGUUUCUUUCCUAACAAAUGUUAAUGAGUUGGAGGAAAUCAAUAUUCAAAUGUGCAUAUGAUCCCCAUCAACCAGCAAUGGUGAGUGCGAGAUGUUAGUACACAUGAUAUUUUGUAGAGAAACAAAACACCAGUUGUGUUAUGUGAUAAAAGCUUCUUGUCCUUCUUGGAUCAGUCAAAAUACCAAAUAUUUCUUCUGUUUCACUUGGUAAGAGUAAAUCAUGAGGUAUUAUACACUUGUCAAAAAAAGAAUCACGAGUGAGGUGUUCCAAAAUGGUAACGGUGGCCGUAACGGCCUUUACGGCCUGUAUCAUAACGGUAACGGUGGUGGCCGUUACAGCCAUUUUUUAUUUUUUGAAAAACUGUUGCAGGACCGUUACGGGACCCAUUACGGGCUGUUUUUUUCUAUAACGGCCGUCACGACUGUUUUGAUCCUGUAACGUGUAACGGUUAUGACCAUUACGGCCAUUACGUAACCAAUUUUGAAUACCUUGAUCAUGAGGUAUUAUGUAAUGUUUGUCCAAGAGAUUGUAUAGUAUGUCCAGGCAUUCUCUUUUUACCAGCAUGCUUACGGUUUCAUCAUCCAAAAUGUUGAUAAGAUCGGACUCAAAUAGGGAUGGCCCAUGCACCAAAAAUGUCCCCCCAUUGGAAAUCCUACUAAUGGAAUAUUUAGCCUUUUAUUGGUUGAAUGAGAACUUUUGGCCACCUAUUAUUGAUGGGUUUAUGAUUUCUCCAUCUGUGUGAUUUUUGUUGGAGUAAAAAUAUACAACAUAUAUUUCAGUUUGUGACGUUUGAAACUUUUGUGUAAAAAUUACCUUUUCACUUUUCAAGUGUAAAAUCUUGUCCCACAGUGGAGAGGGAGAUGUGCAUCAUAAAUCAUACUUUGUUAGCAAAUAUGUAGAGAGAACAAUGAGAUAGAGCUGUCUAAGAAGCUAUGAUACAACAUUUUUUUUCCCAGGAAAAUGUAUCGUGUGUAGAAGAUUUUAUCCAAAAGUUCGGCUACACCUUGACAUCACCCAAAAUGAAAGUUGGGGCAAUCUACUCAUUGUCUCUACAGCAUCUGGAGCAGUUGGUCAGCUUGUUGUCCAGCUUGCCAAGAUAUACGGUUAUGUUGUUGGAAGUGCUGGCACGAAACAGAAGGCAGGUCUUUUGUAGGAAUUACAGCCUUAUUUGCGUUGAGGCAUAUUCCCUUUAUGAUGCAGAUAAAAUUUCAAUGAUAUAUUUCAGGUUGAUCUUCUGAAGAACGCGCUAGGCUUUGAUGAAGCUUUCAAUUACAAAGAGGAGCCAGACUUGGAUGCAGCCUUGGAAAGGUGGUUUGCAGGCCAUACUAUUAGAUCGGAAUAAGCUUGUUGUUGCUGUUGGGGGAGUAACAACUCUUACAACGGGGAUUUACGCAACGAGGUACUAACGCAGGAGCAUUUUCACACUGGACUCGAGUGGGAUGGCCUAUGGGAUGCGGGGGCACACUAGGGGUGGACGGUCGUAGAACCCAUGUGAUUUGGGCCCGUGUGAGGUGGAACCCAUGUGAUUUUGGGCCCACGAGGAGGGUUCGGCAGAGGAUUUAACCCAUGGAUGUGGGGCCUGAGCUAUGAGAUAAAUGGAUUAAUUCGCCAUGCUCUAUCAGUUCGAGCUUUUAGAGCAAGUGGUUAAUUGUCUUGCAUCAGGUACCUUUUGGGUUAUGCAAACAAAUGUUUGGAAGCAUUUUUUUGCUUGCUUCUUAUUCUCUGCAGGUAUAUAAUGCUUUAUAACAUUGGCAUUAUUUGUGAAUAGAACAGCUUGUUGGCAAUACUGCAGAUACAAAAUCCCAUCAGGCACCAUUUCGCAACUUGUUGUUUUACGGUCCUCCAAGAACCGAGAAAAUUAUGGCUUCAAGAGAACUUGCUCAUAAAUCUGCAAGUAUUCAAAACGUAUCCAAGCAUUUGACUUAACUGUGAAAGCAAAUAAUGCAUUCUUUAUGGGAGGAAUUAUGAUUCUUCCAAAUUCCUACAAAUUUUCACAUGGUUUGGUAUCUAGUCUAUGAUAUGAUAGGCACCACUGUGGAUGGGCCAUGCAGCAAAAACUCCCCCAAGUUGGAACAUCCUAGCCUUCCAAUUCUGCCCCUUUCAAUGAUCUAAUAGGCACCACUGUGGAUGGGCUACCCCUCAAAAUUUCUUGACCAUCAUUACAUUUUCAUGGUAGGGCACCGGUGACAAUCCCAACCAUGAGUACCAAUGCUCUUUGCUAUGGGGCUUUCUUGGGACUUUAUGCAAACUUGCACUAUCAGCUCUUGUAUGGCAUUGAUAGAGUAAUCUUCAAUGAUUUUAAUGUUCUUGGAGUGGUGAUAUUUUUUAGCACAACAUUGAGGUAAGAUGUUCUACCACAGGAACUAUCAUCCAUAUAAAGUUCAUUAUUUUGGCAAACCAAAUUAAACAUGUUUUAGCAAACUCGUGGGAAGCAUAUAAAUAUGAGAAUGGAUUUUCCAAAGCUCAUUUUCACCCUUUUUUAUUGUUUCCAAAGUCGAGAUCAAGAUUUAGAAGACUCUAUUGCCAUCCGUUUCAAGAUAUAUGCUUUAACAUCUUUGGAUAUUAAAGUACUGUCUUCUGUUGUUUUCCAAAAUAUGUAAGUUGUACAAGGGGCUUGUUCCUUUUUGGGGUUGCCAAAUUCCAUGCAAGUCGAAAUGUUUCCUUUGCUCAUUUCACAUUAUAGUUUUCUUUUCGUUGUAUUCGUCUGUGCAAGAAAUUGCUCAAAUAUCUUAUGCAUUGCUUUGGAUUAAACAAUCAUAAUAUUAUUGUCCAAGUUGUGUGGUGUUUGGGUUACUAAUCUGUGAUGAAGCCUACGAGACUGUUGAAAUGCACCCUUCAAUUCCUGUUUGAUUUUGAUUGUGCAACUAGUCCCAUAAUAUUAUUUUUAUAUGUGGUGUCAUUUGUAUUGGUGCAGAAUAGAUGAAAUGAUGUAUGGAUAAAGAGGUUGAAGAUACUUAGUUGUAUUAGCUAAAUUAGGAGUGGACCAUAUGGAAGAUUUUUUAUUUUUAUUUAUAAUUUUAAUUUUUAUGUA